UACGUAGGGUGCAAGCGUUGUUCGGAAUUACUGGGCGUAAAGGGCUCGUAGGCGGCCAACUAAGUCAGACGUGAAAUCCCUCGGCUUAACCGGGGAACUGCGUCUGAUACUGGAUGGCUUGAGUUCGGGAGAGGGAUGCGGAAUUCCAGGUGUAGCGGUGAAAUGCGUAGAUAUCUGGAGGAACACCGGUGGCGAAGGCGGCAUCCUGGACCGAUACUGACGCUGAGGAGCGAAAGCUAGGGGAGCAAACGGGG
rnacentral:rRNA from 1 species